rnacentral:rRNA from 1 species
AUGACUUUUAUGCACAGAGUUCUGCUAUCUGGUGCCAGCUUGAUUCUCUCCGUAGUGCUGGUUGUCGUACUUGCCCCUGCUGCCAGGCUGUCCAGGCCAACUUGGAGUUUCAUCGCGUCUACGAGUUCCUGUCUCGGCUCCGUAAGGAGUUUGAGCCCCGGCGUGCUCAGUUGUUUGCUCGUGGCCGUAUUUCUCUCAUGGAGGCGCUUUCAGAGAUUCGUGCUGAGGAGACUCGCUUACGUGGUGCUGGUUUGCUGGAGGUUCCCUCUGUGCUCGCUACUCGGGCUUCUUCCACUCCACCUGCUGCACCGCCCCAUUCUCGCUCGAGUGCUCCGCCACUCUUGCCCACUCCUUUUGGAGGCUCAGGUCGCCCCCGUCCACAUUGUGACUACUGCAACAAUGAUGGUCAUAUUGAGUCCCAGUGCUACACAAAGCGGAAACACCUGCGCAAGGCGCGAUCAUCCUCCUCAGGGACUUCGUCAUCUCCCUCGACAGCUUCAGCCAUUGCUUUGA